rnacentral:rRNA from 1 species
AUUGAACGCUGGCGGCAUGCUUUACACAUGCAAGUCGAACGGUAACAGGCCGCAAGGUGCUGACGAGUGGCGAACGGGUGAGUAAUGCAUCGGAACGUGCCCAGUCGUGGGGGAUAACUACUCGAAAGAGUAGCUAAUACCGCAUACGAUCUAUUGAUGAAAGCGGGGGACCGUAAGGCCUCGCGCGAUUGGAGCGGCCGAUGUCAGAUUAGGUAGUUGGUGGGGUAAAGGCUCACCAAGCCAACGAUCUGUAGCUGGUCUGAGAGGACGACCAGCCACACUGGGACUGAGACACGGCCCAGACUCCUACGGGAGGCAGCAGUGGGGAAUUUUGGACAAUGGGCGCAAGCCUGAUCCAGCAAUGCCGCGUGCAGGAAGAAGGCCUUCGGGUUGUAAACUGCUUUUGUACGGAACGAAACGGCUCUGGUUAAUACCCGGGGCUAAUGACGGUACCGUAAGAAUAAGCACCGGCUAACUACGUG